rnacentral:tRNA from 1 species
GGCAGCAUAGCUCAGUCGGUUAGAGCGACGGUCUCAUAAUCCGUAGGUCCCCAGUUCAAGUCUGGGUGCUGCUA